AUUGAACGCUGGCGGCAGGCUUAACACAUGCAAGUCGAGCGAGCGGCGGACGGGUGAGUAACGUCUGGGAAACUGCCUGAUGGAGGGGGAUAACUACUGGAAACGGUAGCUAAUACCGCAUACCAUCAGUUGUGCCCAGAUGGGAUUAGCUUGUAGGUGUGGUAAUGGCUCACCUAGGCGACGAUCCCCUGCUGGUCUGAGAGGAUGACCAGCCACACUGGAACUAGGACAAGGUCCAAAAUCCUGCGGGAGGCAGCAGUGGGAAAUAUUGCACAGUGGGCACAAGCGUGAUGCAGCAAUGCCGCGUGUGUGAGGAAGGCCAUCGGGUUGUAAAGCACUUUCAGCGGGGAGGCGUUACUCGCGGAAGAAGCACCGGCUAACUACGUGCCAGCAGCCGCGGUAAUAC
rnacentral:rRNA from 1 species